CAUUUGUUUUCAAUACUUUUUGAAAGAGGAUAUAUUGAGAAGAUUUUGAUAAAUAAUUUUUAUGAAGGUGAAAUUUAUAAAAUGUUUUUAUUUCUGGAAGAUAUCUGAGAGUCACGUUAGGUGAAAAAUAGAAUAGGGAAUAAUAAGAAAAGCUAAUUUGUUUGGCAGUUUGAAUUUCCUUUUAGGGGAAUCUGUUCUUUGAUGGAAUUUACACCUUAAAAUUUACUUACUUUCUAGUUUUGUAUACCUCUGUUUUAAAAUAUUGUUUUAUUAUUGUAAUAUGAUUAUAAAAAUGCAGGUCAAGGUGCAGACUAUAGGUAAGGUUGAGAUGGAUUACAAUAAGAAGAUUUAUUACGGAUCAAUUUUUAGAGGAAUUUGAGAAGGUGGACUUAAUCGUAACUUGGAGUUGAUAUAUUUAGGUGAGUAGGAACUUUUAG
rnacentral:rRNA from 1 species